rnacentral:misc_RNA from 1 species
GAUGAAGAACGUAGCGAAAUGUGAUACUUGGUGUGAAUUGCAGAAUCCCGUGAACCAUCGAGUCUUUGAACGCAAGUUGCGCCUCAAGCCAUUAGGUUGAGGGCACGUCUGCCUGGGCGUCACAUAUCGUUGCCUGAUGCCAGUUUCCUCGUGAUGGGUGACUGUGCAGGGCGAAUGAUGGCUUCCCGUGAGCAUUGUUGCCUCAUGGUUGGUUGAAAAUUGAGUCCUUGGUAGGGAGCGCCGUGAUAGAUGGUGGUUGAGUGACGAACGAGACCCAAUCAUGUGAGACCCCUACCGAAUUUGGCCUUCAUGACCCACAUGCGUCUUUUGACGCUCAUGACGAGACCUCAGGUCAGGCGGGGCUACCCGCUGAAUUUAAGCAUAUCAAUAAGCGGAGGA